AGUUAAUGGUUCCUUCUUCCGCCGUGAGACUGAUAGUGGGUU
rnacentral:sRNA from 1 species